rnacentral:lncRNA from 1 species
AAACAGCAAAGGCAAUACAGUCUUAAGGAGGCGGCAGGGAGCCUUUCCUGGGCGACCUGACACAGGCCAAUGACCAAUGACCGUGUCCUGACCUUUUCUUGAAAAGAAGCUGCGUCUGGUCCUGCUGGGGAAAUGGCUUCAUGGCAUCCUGGAGGUAAAAAAGAUGUGAGUACAGUAUCCUCCUGUCACUCUCAGGAGAUCCUUCCUGAGUGUGUGCUUCUCUUGUCCUAAGAUCCUCUUAUGACCUAAUGGAGCAGGUCCCAGAGCGCUCACCUCUGCCGUGACGGCUCUGGAAGGUUUGCACAUCUGCAAUGGUCCGGGAGACCAAGGCUGCUGUAGCAGUAACUCCGAGUCUCCCAGAACACCCCACAGCCCCCCUGAAUACCCUGUCAGAUUCUCUGAACACCCUUUGGGCCUCUGGGAAGCCAUGAGCACGGUGAGCCUGC